GAAAUGCGAUAAUUAAUGUGAAUUGCAGAAUUCAGUGAAUCAUCGAGUCUUUGAACGCACAUUGCGCCCCCUGGUAUUCCGCGGGGCAUGCCUGUCCGAGCGUCAUUGCUGCCCUCAAGCACGGCUUGUGUGUUGGGCUUCCGUCCCUGGCAACGGGGACGGGCCCAAAAGGCAGUGGCGGCACCAUGUCUGGUCCUCGAGCGUAUGGGGCUUUGUCACCCGCUCCCGUAGGUCCAGCUGGCAGCUAGCCUCGCAACCAAUCUUUUUAACCAGGUUGACCUCGGAUCAGGUAGGGAUACCCGCUGAACUUAAGC
rnacentral:misc_RNA from 1 species